CAGAAUAAUGUGAAACUGCUACGUUUUGGUUGCUAUGAACAAUAUUUUGAGUUAGUUUCUGCAUAAAAAUAAGGUUUGAUUACAUUUUUAGCGAGAAAUAUAUAUUCUAUUUUCAUAAUAUUCACUCAGUGAAUGUCAACCCGUUCUCACUCCUGACCGUUCUCACGCUGAAGAAGUCUCCUUCAGAACACAUCGCGAUAUUUGGCAUCAGUUCGCGUGUGCUGGAUGUUGCUGAAAAGACAAAAAGGGCCUUUUGGAAAUGGAUGAAGGAGACAGAAAGCUGCAAAGGCAAAUAAUUGCAAUGGAUUACUUGCAGAUUACUUAGUCCUUCUUUUUAGGAUCUCUACAACAUCAAACUCAACA